rnacentral:lncRNA from 1 species
CUAUCGGAAAAUUCAAAAUUCCAAAAACAGAGAAGGUGAUCAUCAAACUAUGCAUUAUUUUCCAUUUAUGUCGGCCUAUUAUAUCAGAUAUUGUUUUAAUAAAAUUUCUCACAAUUAGGUCUGAUGGUGUUGCCUUUUCUGAAUGGUGGAACCAUGAUACUUCAUUUUCUUUUGGUAGUUCGGAAGACUAAGCCUGGAGAGCUUCUUUUGUUGUGUCCUGCUUUUAUUAUUUUGUUGUUUAAUGAAUGCUGUCUGCAAACUUUACACUCCCUUUUGAUGCUACUAUUGAACAGAGCUGCUUAGUUUGGAUGGUUUCUACAUUAGAGUAAAGAAAGAUACUCAUUUGGAUGGCCUGAUAUAUAUGAUGUCAUUCUGGAAUUUAAGACUUUUAUCAAAGUAGUAUUGGUUCUUUAUUCAAAGCCCAGAUACAUUGGUGAC